rnacentral:rRNA from 1 species
UACGAAGGGAGCUAGCGUUGUUCGGAAUCACUGGGCGUAAAGCGCGCGUAGGCGGACCUUCAAGUCGGGGGUGAAAGCCCGAGGCUCAACCUCGGAACUGCCUUCGAUACUGCGGGUCUCGAGUCCGGGAGAGGUGAGUGGAAUUCCUAGUGUAGAGGUGAAAUUCGUAGAUAUUAGGAAGAACACCAGUGGCGAAGGCGGCUCACUGGCUCGGUACUGACGCUGAGGCGCGAAAGCGUGGGGAGCAAACAGG